AGCCUAAUGAAAUGAUCCGGAUGCGUAAUGAAAUAUUUAUUAGUAAGGACUCUAUAAUCUAUUUUAAUUGCUAGUGCACAUUCGAGUUUUUUUUAUAGCAGUGUUGUUUGUGAUUAAUGCAUAUCUAGCAGGAUUAUAUGUUUGGCUGCAGAUGGAUUUGUAGAGAAAGGUAGGCCAGUCUCUGAUCAGGAGGCAGUUGUUCCACCAAAUGCAGUUUCUCUAAUUAUUCCCGAGUUUCUCUCCUGGACAAGAAAGUUACGAAUAUGAUUCUUAAAGAAUGAGAGGGAUAUGGUAAACCCAAUGAGGAAUUGUUUCCAAAGUGAAGUUAAUUUUGAAGCUACAAGAUAGAACAAUAUUUUUAAAUAGGUCCAUGGGGAAGAGCUUUUUGAGUUCAAACAAUUAAUGAUAAAGUAAUUGGUGGACUUGAUAAAUCCGUAAUAAACAUGAAAAAGGGCGAGGUGGCAGUUGUGAGUCUGUGGUUAUACAACCAAAAUAUGUUUUUGGCUCUCCAUAUUCUUAGCAAGAACUCGCUGUUGUUCCUCUUGGUUCAAUCAUCUCUUACCGAAG